AUUGAACGCUGGCGGCAUGCCUUACACAUGCAAGUCGAACGGCAGCGCGGGGCAACCUGGCGGCGAGUGGCGAAACGGGUGAGUAAUAUAUCGGAACAUACCCUAGAGUGGGGGAUAACGUAGCGAAAGUUACGCUAAUACCGCAUACGCACUAAGGUGGAAAGUGGGGGGAGUCUUCGGACCUCAUGCUCAUGGAGUGGCCCGAUAUCUGAUUAGCUAGUUGGUGAGGUAAAGGCUCACCAAGGCGACGAUCAGUAGCUGGUUUGAGAGAACGACCAGCCACACUGGAACUGAGACACGGUCCAGACUCCUACGGGAGGCAGCAGUGGGGAAGUUUUGGACAGUAGGGGGCAACCCUGAUCCAGCAAUG
rnacentral:rRNA from 1 species